GAUGAACGCUAGCUACAGGCUUAACACAUGCAAGUCGAGGGGCAGCAUGACCUAGCAAUUGGUUGAUGGCGACCGGCGCACGGGUGAGUAACACGUAUCCAACCUGCCGAUUAUUCCGGGAUAGCCUUUCGAAAGAAAGAUUAAUACUGGAUAGCAUAACGAGAAGGCAUCUUCUUGUUAUUAAAGAAUUUCGAUAAUCGAUGGGGAUGCGUUCCAUUAGUUUGUUGGCGGGGUAACGGCCCACCAAGACAUCGAUGGAUAGGGGUUCUGAGAGGAAGGUCCCCCACAUUGGAACUGAGACACGGUCCAAACUCCUACGGGAGGCAGCAGUGAGGAAUAUUGGUCAAUGGACGAGAGUCUGAACCAGCCAAGUAGCGUGAAGGAGGACUGCCCUAUGGGUUGUAAACUUCUUUUAUAUGGGAAUAAAGUGGGCCACGUGUGGCUUUUUGUAUGUACCAUACGAAUAAGAAUCGGCUAACUCCGUG
rnacentral:rRNA from 1 species